CGGCGAGUGAAGCGGCAAAAGCUCAAAUUUGAAAUCUGGCGCCUUCGGUGUCCGAGUUGUAAUUUGAAGAUUGUAACCUUGGGGUUGGCUCUUGUCUAUGUUUCUUGGAACAGGACGUCACAGAGGGUGAGAAUCCCGUGCGAUGAGAUGCCCAAUUCUAUGUAAGGUGCUUUCGAAGAGUCGAGUUGUUUGGGAAUGCAGCUCUAAGUGGGUGGUAAAUUCCAUCUAAAGCUAAAUAUUGGCGAGAGACCGAUAGCGAACAAGUACAGUGAUGGAAAGAUGAAAAGAACUUUGAAAAGAGAGUGAAAAAGUACGUGAAAUUGUUGAAAGGGAAGGGUUUGAGAUCAGACUCGAUAUUUUGUGAGCCUUGCCUUCGUGGCGGGGUGACCCGCAGCUUAUCGGGCCAGCAUCGGUUUGGGCGGUAGGAUAAUGGCGUAGGAAUGUGACUUUACUUCGGUGAAGUGUUAUAGCCUGCGUUGAUGCUGCCUGCCUAGACCGAGGACUGCGAUUUUAUCAAGGA
rnacentral:rRNA from 1 species